rnacentral:rRNA from 1 species
CGCCGCCGGCGACCGGCGCACGGGUGAGUAACACGUAUGCAACCUGGCCGCCACAGGGGGAUAACCCGCGGAAACGCGGCCUAAUACCCCGUGACGCCACCGGAGGGCAUCCUCCGGUGGCCAAAGGGGCGAUCCGGUGGCGGAUGGGCAUGCGGCGCAUUAGCUAGACGGCGGGGUGACGGCCCACCGUGGCGACGAUGCGUAGGGGUUCUGAGAGGAAGGCCCCCCACACUGGGACUGAGACACGGCCCAGACUCCUACGGAAGGCAGCAG